rnacentral:rRNA from 1 species
GAAAGCCUGUCUCAGUUCGGAUUGGAGUCUGCAACUCGACUCCAUGAAGCUGGAUUCGCUAGUAAUCGCGCAUCAGCCAUGGCGCGGUGAAUACGUUCCCGGGCCUUGUACACACCGCCCGUCAAGCCAUGGGAGCCGGGGGUGCCUGAAGUACGUGACCGCGAGGAGCGUCCUAGGGCAAAACUGGUGACUGGGGCUAAGUCGUAACAAGGUACC